CUUAGCUCGUGGUAAAGGGAAGAAAGUCACUAUAGCCUUUGCAGGAUUUUAGUGACGGACAGAAUGCCUGCGACGCAUGUGAUCUUGAUUCUCCUUACGGGGAUGUUGGCGCUGAUCGUUGUGGCAGACUCCCUGGUGCUGUGCCCGCAGUUUCCCUCCUGCUGCUACCCUCGAGACCACUGUCACGCGCUUUGUCCCUCGUGUAGGGAAGCGAGGUUCUUCCGGAACGGCGUUCGCCUAUUUCCCAAGAACCCCAUAGGCUGCUCCAUUGGCGGAAACUUCAUCAAUCCCGAUCCUUUUGCUUUUCCCAAUUCUCCGAUAUUUCCCAGUCCUCCAAUUUGUAUUUAACAUUUUAAUGACAGUGAAUUCUCACUCUAUCUAGUCAAUACCUUUCUUUCUUAGGGAUUUUUGCAUGUGUCUUGUGUGCAGAAAACUUUCCUUCGGUUUUGUUUAAAUAAAACAGAGGGAAUGGAGGCACACAUACGGAUAUUCCCUGUUUAGACUUUAAGGAGAGCCUUUCGAGGAUUGCUUUCAAGUUUCCAGCGGAUAAUUCGUACCGUGAUUUUUGUUGAGCAAGAUGAUGUUCUCAUGUUGAAGGGAGAACAUUUGAUAAUAAACUGUUCUUUUUAC